GUCGAGCGGACUGAAGGGAGCUUGCUCCCGGACGUUAGCGGCGGACGGGUGAGUAACACGUAGGCAACCUGCCUUGUAGACUGGGAUAACUUCGGGAAACCGGAGCUAAUACCGGAUGUUAGAUGAAUCGCGCAUGCGUUUUAUCUAAAAGUUGGCCUCGGCUAACACUACAAGAUGGGCCUGCGGCGCAUUAGCUAGUUGGUAAGGUAGUGGCUUACCAAGGCGACGAUGCGUAGCCGACCUGAGAGGGUGAUCGGCCACACUGGGACUGAGACACGGCCCAGACUCCUACGGGAGGCAGCAGUAGGGAAUCUUCCGCAAUGGACGAAAGUCUGACGGAGCAACGCCGCGUGAGCGAUGAAGGCCUUCGGGUCGUAAAGCUCUGUUGUUAGGGAAGAACAAGUGCCGUUCGAAUAGGUCGGCACCUUGACGGUACCUAACCAGAAAGCCACGGCUAACUACGUGCCAGCAGCCGCGGUAAUACGUAGGUGGCAAGCGUUGUCCGGAAUUAUUGGGCGUAAAGCGCGCGCAGCGGUCUUUUAAGUCUGGUGUGAAAGCCCACGGCUCAACCGUGGAGGGUCAUUGGGAAACUGGGAGACUUGAGUACAGAAGAGAGAGUGGAAUUCCACGUGUAGCGUGAAUGCGUAGAUAUGUGGAGGACACCAGUGG
rnacentral:rRNA from 1 species